AUGAGUGGUGCUGUCACAAAGGGACAAGAGAAUGAGAAGGAGAUGCGGCUGUUUUCCGUACUGGAGUUGACACAGGCUGGAGAUGACAGCUGUGAACAGACGUCGAAAGAAAUGAAAGCCAUGGGCUGUGAGAAGGGGACUCUUCCUGCCUUCAGUCUGGCGGAAACCCCAGAGGAAUCGGGCUUCCAGUCGGCACAGAAGGGCCUGGGAGCCUGGAAAUCUCAGGUGCGGACGUGGGGGGCACCUUGUGAUUGUCUUCAAAAAUUAACCCACGGUCGAAUCGGAGAAGUCGGACUGGCCAUUGGUGCUACCGUGUCAGAAAGCGGUAAGUGCUGUUCAGAUCGGAGGAUGUUGGCGAAGAGGGGAGCGUAUUUGGAGCCAAACUGUUACAUCCCCUGCCCAGAGCUACCCGGUCUGGUUUCCACCGUCGAGGACGUGGUGGGAACUUCCUCUGUGCCCAGCACUGUGCGGGUACAUUUCAGGCGGAGGGCAGUGAACUCGGGCUUCCGAAUGCAGUGUCACUGCAAAUUCUCACCUCAUGAGUUGUCUUCUGAUUGAGAGACGGCCUCAGAGAGAGCUUUUUGGUUCAUAUCUCAGAAACCACCGCCCCAGCCUGUCAAACCCAGAGAUUUAGGAUGGCAUCGGACCCCGAAUCUGGAAAAACUUUGCAGCCUCACAGUGCCAAAUCCAGAGGCGAAAUAUGCACACCGAGAAACCGGAAAAGCAUGGAAUGAUGGGGGGAGAGGAGGAAAAUGAAAACACUCUGUUUCCACUGACAGAAUCGGUCUUUGCCGGGAAAACUGGAAUGUUGACUUGGUUCGCACAUAAUUCAAUUUUCUACACACUCAGAAGGAGAGACAAAGCCAGAUGCUGGGAGAAAGUGCUGAUGCAGUUUUUGACAUUGGCAAAGGCAACGUGUAUAUGAACUCAGCCUCGUGUGCAAUACUCAACCGUCUAAAAUGGGGUCACAACGUUUUAUACACAGCGUGGUCUCAGCGCUGUGGAAAUGUCCACCUAUCCAGAUGUCCGUCUUUGCUUCUAACUAGCUUGAUUUAUCACGAUAGACAAACGAUUAGGUGAAUAUAUACCAAGGUGCUGGUAGCAGCUGGCAGGGCACGGGCAGUUUUUAUCCUUGACCUUUAUAUUUGUCAGUGUUUUUCAAUUUUUCUAAAGUAAAAAAAUGUAUUUUUAAGUGACUUUUAAAACCUAAUUGGUGCCUUCAUUAUGUGAACAAGGCGCAUGUACCUGACCUCAUGUAUAAACGCUCCCCUAGGGAACAAGGUUCUAAAUGAGCUACUCUCCUUUCCCAUCUUUUCAAUGCCCCUAGGCCCCACUGAUUUGAAAUAACUGCUGUUAGAAUUUUUUGUUUCUAUAUAUAUAUAUAUUUUUGAGUUUCUUACCAUUAAAUAUUUACACCCGGAAUGAAAAGCCCAGAGAGCCUACGGCAAACCAAGGAUUCAAGCCACAUGUAACGGGAGGGGCUGCUACUCUGCGCCACCUGGUGGCUGGAUUCCAGAAUGCGGGCCCGGCGUGGCCAGAUCUUUUUAAGAGAAACGGUUCUCUUUUUAAGAGAAUUUGGGUUAUGAAAUAUCCCAAAUUUCAACACUUGGCACCUAACUUGAAAAUUUUAGAAGCAGUGUCUGGGCCACCCUGCAUACAACGGAGGGACAUAUUUUACAGCAUUGAGGCCUCUGCUUUAAGGAACAAAUGUAGAGCGCUGUGUCUUAAAUUAUCAACCCUAAACAACGGCCAGGGACCAGAGAGAGAAGGAAUUUUGUUCACAUACGUUCCCUCCACUGCCCUCUUCCUUUCGCCUCCCUGCUUUUAGCCAUUAUAUUAUUGCUUCUUCUACCAGUGGCCUUUAUUACUUUGUACAUUUGCCUUCCGUUUAAAAAGUUUUUAUCAGGGGCGCCUGGGUGGCGCAGUCGGUUAAGCGUCCGACUUCAGCUCAGGUCACAAUCUCACAGUCCGUGAGUUCGAGCCCCGCAUCAGGCUCUGGGCUGAUGGCUCGGAGCCUGGAGCCUGCUUCUGAUUCUGUGUCUCCCUCUCUCUCUGCCCCUCCCCCAUUCAUGCUCUGUCUCUCUCUGUCCCAAAAAUAAAUAAAAAACGUUGAAAAAAAAUUUAAAAAGU
ensembl:lncRNA